rnacentral:rRNA from 1 species
CAUACGGGAGGCAGCAGUGAGGAAUAUUGGUCAAUGGGCGCGAGCCUGAACCAGCCAAGUAGCGUGAAGGCUGACUGCCCUACGGGUUGUAAACUUCUUUUAUAAAGGAAUGAAGUGAGGCACGUGUGCCUUUUUGUAUGUAUUUUAUGAAUAAGGAUCGGCUAACUCCGUGCCAGCAGACGCGGUAAUACGGAGGAUCCGAGCGUUAUCCGGAUUUAUUGGGUUUAAAGGGAGCGUAAAUGGGUUGUUAAGUCAGUUGUGAAAGUUUGCGGCUCAACCGUAAAAUUGCAAUUGAUACUGGCAGCCUUGAGUACAGUUGAGGUAGGCGGAAUUCGUGGUGUAGCGGUGAAAUGCUUAGAUAUCACGAAGAACUCCGAUUGCGAAGGCAGCCUACUAAACUGCCACUGACAUUGAUGCUCGAAAGUGUGGGUAUCAAACAGGAUUAGAUACCCUUGUAGUC